AUGAACGCUGGCGGCGUGCCUAACCCAUGCAAGUCGAACGGAGUCCAGCCUUUAAGACCUUCGGGUCAAAGAGGGGAAGACUGAGUGGCGGACGGGUGAGUAACACGUGGGCAACCUGGCUCAUAGAGGGGGAUAACAGAGAGAAAUUUCUGCUAAUACCGCAUAAGCACACACUGCCGCAUGGCAGAGGGUGAAAAGAGAAUCGCUAUGAGAUGGACCCGCGUCUGAUUAGCCAGUUGGCAGGGUAAGAGCCUACCAAAGCGACGAUCAGUAGCCGAUCUGAGGGGAUGAACGGCCACAUUGGGACUGAGACACGGCCCAAACUCCUACGGGAGGCAGCAGUGGGGGAUAUUGCACAAUGGGGGGAACCCUGAUGCAGCGACGCCGCGUGAGUGAAGAAGUAUUUCGGUAUGUAAAGCUCUAUCAGCAGGGAAGAUAAUGACAGUACCUGAAGAAGAAGCCCCGGCUAACUACGUG
rnacentral:rRNA from 1 species